CUGGGAAGGGGGACACAGGGGAACAGACUAUCGGCGUAUCUAGAUAAGCCUGAGUGGUGUGAAGGUCUUCAGAAUAUGUUUGCUUGGAAACUAACCCCAAUAAAUAACACAUUGUUUGCACUUCAGGCUUCUGGUCUUCUGCUUUCUCUCUGUGUGACAAGAACCAGGUGAGAGGAUGAAGGGAAAGCCCUCUAACACCUUGGUGCCGUGACUCAGAUACAUCACGUCAGACAGGUUUGCCCAUGCUGUGAUAGAAUUUAGGGUUGCCUGAUGAAGUCCAAUGAUUGCGCAGGGUUGAAGAUCGACUUUCUGAUGUUGAUGCUGAUCCCCAGUGAAGAAAGGAGGCUGAGUAACAUAGGAGUUGACAUGUAGGCUUCUUGUGGGGCCUAGUAAAAAGGGGCCAGUCAUUGAGGUAUGGAAAAAUAAGAAGAUCAUAAUGCCUGAUGUGAGCUGCUACUAUGGAAAAUACUUUGGUGAAGACUCUGGGAGCAGUAGCUAACCUGAAGAGUAGUACUCUGUAUUGGAAAUGAUCAGAACCCACCAUAAAUCUGAGAAAAUGCCCAUGGGUAGCGUUAAUAUGAAUGUGGAAGUAAGCAACCUUAAUAUUGAGAGCCAUGAACCACGUGUCUUUUUCUAAGGAUGGAAUUAUUGCUGCCAAUGUGACCAUGUGAAACUUGAGUUUGCUGAUGAAGCAAAUGAGGCGAUGGAGGUAGAGAACUGGUCUCCAAUCACCUUUCUUCUAGUGUAUUAGAAACGCAGACGCCAUAGCACAGCAAGCAUGGAGCCCGCUC